GACGAACGCUGGCGGCGUGCCUAAUACAUGCAAGUCGAACGCAGUGGGGACGGGUGAGUAACACGUGGGUAACCUCCCAUCAGAGGGGAUAAAACUUGGAAACAGGUGCAAAACCGAUACUGAUGGAUGGACCCGCGGUGCAUGAGCUAGUUGGUGAGGUAACGUCUCACCAAGGCAAUGAUGCAUAGCCGACCUGGGAGGGUGAUCGGCUACACUGGGACUGAGCAACGGCCCAGACUCCGACGGGAGGCAGCAGUAGGGAAUCUUCGGCAAUGGACGAAAGUCUGACCGAGCAACGCCGCGUGAGUGAAGAAGGUUUUCGGAUCGUAAAACUCUGUUGUUAGUGAAGCGGUAUCUAACCAGAAAGCCACGGCUAACUACGUGCCAGCAGCCGCGGUAAUUC
rnacentral:rRNA from 1 species